rnacentral:rRNA from 1 species
UACGUAGGUGGCGAGCGUUGUCCGGAAUCAUUGGGCGUAAAGAGCGUGUAGGCGGCUCGGUAAGUCCGCUGUGAAAGUCCAGGGCUCAACCCUGGAAUGCCGGUGGAAACUGUCGGGCUAGAGUCCGGAAGAGGCGAGUGGAAUUCCUGGUGUAGCGGUGAAAUGCGCAGAUAUCAGGAGGAACACCAAUGGCGAAGGCAGCUCGCUGGGACGGUACUGACGCUGAGGAGCGAAAGCGUGGGGAGCAAACAGG